UUUCUUUGCUCCCUCAUGCUUCCCCUUUCUUUUCUCCCCACCUCCCCUGCCAUGGACCAGCUCAGCUUGAUCCUGCUCUUUGGAAAACGAAGGACUGCAUCACAGAUGGUUUUGUUCCAACAAAGAACAGGAUCUUGGUGACAGCCCUGGAGAGCAGGCUGUACCCUUCCCUGGAACAAGCAGCAGUGCAUCACGUCAUGCUCGGACCACACCGCCUCACUCCCUCGCCUCUCUCCGUGUCAGGCUUUUCAAGUUUCUACAAGAAAAAAGCUUCAUUCUACAAGGCCAGCAUCCAGUUCAUAUUUGCUAUAUCACAGGGACAACGAUAAGGUGGAAAAUUCCUCUGGAUUUCUAGAGAUGGAAAACUACUGACUGCUGGGUGCUGGUAGGAGAAGGGUAACAAGCAUCUGGGCAUGGAGACGGAGACUCCUCUUGACAGCUCUGUUCCUCAGGUAGAACAGGCCUUUCUAUCAAA